CCGGCACGGGUGAGUAACACGUAUCCAACCUGCCGUCUACUCUUGGACAGCCUUCUGAAAGGAAGAUUAAUACAAGAUGGCAUCAUGAGUCCGCAUGUUCACAUGAUUAAAGGUAUUCCGGUAGACGAUGGGGAUGCGUUCCAUUAGAUAGUAGGCGGGGUAACGGCCCACCUAGUCUUCGAUGGAUAGGGGUUCUGAGAGGAAGGUCCCCCACAUCGGAACUGAGACACGGUCCAA
rnacentral:rRNA from 1 species